rnacentral:rRNA from 1 species
UGCAAGUCGAACGGAACCUUUCGGGGUUUAGUGGCGGACGGGUGAGUAACGCGUGAGAAUCUGCCCUUAGGACGGGGACAACGACUGGAAACGGUCGCUAAAACCCGAUGUGCCGAGAGGUGAAAUAUUUAUAGCCUAAGGAUGAGCUCGCGUCAGAUUAGCUAGUUGGGGGGGUAAUGGCUCACCAAGGCGACGAUCUGUAGCUGGUCUGAGAGGAUGACCAGUCACACUGGAACUGAGACACGGUCCAGACUCCUACGGGAGGCAGCAGUGGGGAAUUUUCCGCAAUGGGCGCAAGCCUGACGGAGCAAGACCGCGUGGGGGAUGAAGGUUUGUGGAUUGUAAACCCCUUUUGUCAGGGAAGAAUAAUGACGGUACCUGACGAAUAAGCCUCGGCUAACUCCGUGCCAGCAGCCGCGGUAAUACGGAGGAGGCAAGCGUUAUCCGGAAUUAUUGGGCGUAAAGCGUCCGCAGGUGGUUAGUCAAGUCUGCUGUCAAAGCGCGAGGCUCAACUUCGUAAAGGCAGUGGAAACUGAUUCACUAGAGUGCGGUAGGGGUAGAGGGAAUUCCCAGUGUAGCGGUGAAAUGCGUACAUAUUGGGAAGAACACCGGUGGCGAAGGCGCUCUACUGGGCCUGCACUGACACUGAGGGACGAAAGCUAGGGGAGCGAAAGGGAUUAGAUACCCCUGUAGUCCUAGCUGUAAACGAUGGAUACUAGGUGUUGCCCGUAUCGACCCGGGCAGUGCCGUAGCUACCGCGUUAAGCAUCCCGCCUGGGGAGUACGCUCGCAAGAGUGAAACUCAAACGAAUUGACGGGGGCCCGCACAAGCCGGUGGAGUAUGUGGUUUAAUUCAUUGCAUCGCGAAGAACCUUACCAGGGCUUGACAUGGUCGCGAACCUUUGUGAAA